UACGUAGGGGGCGAGCGUUGUCCGGAUUCAUUGGGCGUAAAGCGCUUUAAGGCGGUUCGCUAAGUCGCGUGUGAAACCUCCAGGCUCAACCUGGAGACGCCACGCGAUACUGGCGUGACUAGAGUUCGGUAGGGGAUCACGGAAUUCCUGGUGUAGCGGUGAAAUGCGCAGAUAUUGGGAAGAACACCAGUGGCGAAGGCGGUUCUCUGGGACGGUACUGACGCUGAGACGCGAAAGCGUGGGGAGCGAACAGG
rnacentral:rRNA from 1 species